rnacentral:rRNA from 1 species
AGUAGCGGUGAAAUGCGUAGAUAUCUGGAGGAAUACCAAAGGCGAAGGCAGUCCCCUGGUCCGAUACUGACACUGAGGUACGAAAGCGUGGGGAGCAAACAGGAUUAGAUACCCUGGUAGUCCACGCCCUAAACGAUGUCGAUUAGCCAUUGGAAGGACCCCUUUUCCUUUCAGUGACGUAGCUAACGCGUUAAAUCGACCGCCUGGGAAGUACGACCGCAAGGUUAAAACUCAAAGGAAUUGACGGGGACCUGAACAAGCGGUGAAUGAUGUGGAUUAAUUCGAUGCUACGCGAAGAACCUUACCUACCUUUGACAUGGCCAAAGUUCUACCGAGAGGCGGAAGUACUCGUAAGAGGAUUGGCGCACAGGUGCUGCAUGGUUGUCGUCAGUUCGUGUCGUGAGAUGUUGGGUUCAGUCCCGCAACCAACGCAACCCUUAUCUUUAAUUGCUCCUAUUUUAACAGGCACUUUAAAGAAACUGCCAAUGAUAAGUUGGAGGAAGGUGGGGAUCACGUCAAGUCCGCAUGGCCUUUAUAGGUAGGGCUUCACACGUCAUACAAUGGUUAGAACAAAGAGCUGCAAAUUCGUAAGAAGGAGCCAAUCUCACAAACCUAACCUCAGUUCGAAUUGCGGUCUGCAACUCGAGCGCAUGAAGCCGGAAUCGCUAGUAAUCGUGGAUCAGAAUGCCA